rnacentral:lncRNA from 1 species
GCGUAAACAAGGAUUGACUGUCUGCACGGCAGAAACGUACCGGUCUUAUGUGAAUACUGCUGUUUUGUUCAUUUAGCACCUGGUUGAUAAGGGCAAAAGCUCUUACGGUGUGUUCAAGUGCGUAAGGAAUUCAUGAAGCUACAGUAUCUGUUGCAUCAAAAUAAAACACUAUGAACCAUCAGUUGAAGAGCAUCAAUCAGACCAUCAGUCAACCGGCCGUACAGGAGAGCCACCCAGUGCCCAAUAGUAUGUGUCUGCAGACCCGGAGACUGCAGAUUCAGGCCCGCAGUUUUGAGACCCGCAGUUCUAGGCCCCUCGCAGCGACACCUACUGGACUGGACCCGCAGUACAGGACCCGCAGUUCUAGGCCCCUCGCGUGCGCCACCUACUGGACUGGACCCGCAGUACAGG